AAGGGUGCCACAGUAUCCAUUUAUGGAUUUAUUAUUGGUACCAACUGCCUGACAUCGUUUCUUGUCACACUCCUUUUAUUGGAAAAACCUAAAAGUUAGUGGCGUUCGGUUCACCUUUGUUUCUGGAGUUUUCAUUGGAGGUAUUUGCUGCUUAUUAUCGGGCUUUUUAGAGUAUUUCCCUCCCGGGGGUUCAUUCGUCGUAAUAUCUAUAUUGAUCCGCGUCAUUCACGCUGCCGGAAACGCUGGAACAAUUACGGCGACGUUUACGUACACUGCUGUGGAGUUUCCCAAUUCCGUUGCCAAA